CAUAUCUGACGUGGGGUCCAUUUCCUUCUGGUAAAUAUUGUUACUUGCUUGUUUUCAUGGUCUCUCUUUGCUCUCCCAUUUCGUUUUACAGCUCUCAAGCUCAACCAACGCCCUGCCGUUCACAGAGCAUCUUUGGGGCCCUUUACAUAUAUAUCUGUCUAUCCGUACCUAAAACGGUCAUAUAUAUGGAAGGAUGAUAAUCUGAGUGGACGGGAAGACGUGACACCAUGAAUGCUAAGUAUUCAUGUCCCUUGAGGAUCUGGCAACUCAAAAGGUAUUUACAGCAUUUGGGAAGGAAAAAAAAAUUACAGCAGAAAAUGAGUUGUAUAAAUAUUCUACUUAAUUCUGCAACAUAUCUGUCAACGGAAUCUAGUUUAGUGAAAAAUAAUCUAACUUGCAUAUUAGUAGUCUCUUAUCAAAC
rnacentral:lncRNA from 1 species